rnacentral:rRNA from 1 species
GAUGAACGCUGGCGGCGUGCCUAAUACAUGCAAGUCGAGCGAACGGACGAGAAGCUUGCUUCUCUGAUGUUAGCGGCGGACGGGUGAGUAACACGUGGAUAACCUACCUAUAAGACUGGGAUAACUUCGGGAAACCGGAGCUAAUACCGGACGAUAUUUUGAACCGCAUGGAUCAAAAGUGAAAGACGGUCUUGCUGUCACUUAUAGAUGGAUCCGCGCUGGAUUAGCUAGUUGGUAAGGUAACGGCUUACCAAGGCAACGAUGCAUAGCCGACCUGAGAGGAUGAUCAGCCACACUUGAACUGAGACACGGUCCAGACUCCUACGGGAGGCAGCAGUGGGGAAUAUUGGACAAUGGGCGAAAGCCUGAUGCAGCCACGCCGCGUGUGUGAUGAAGGUCUUCGGAUCUUAAAACUCUGUUAUUAGGGAAGAACAUAUGUGUGAGUAACUCUGCACGUCUUGACGGUACCAAAUGAGAAAGCAACGGCUAACUACGUG